rnacentral:rRNA from 1 species
AUGAGUAGGGCGGGACACGUGGUAUCCUGUCUGAAUAUGGGGGGACCAUCCUCCAAGGCUAAAUACUCCUGACUGACCGAUAGUGAACCAGUACCGUGAGGGAAAGGCGAAAAGAACCCCGGCGAGGGGAGUGAAAAAGAACCUGAAACCGUGUACGUACAAGCAGUGGGAGCCUCUUAAUGGGGUGACUGCGUACCUUUUGUAUAAUGGGUCAGCGACUUAUAUUCUGUAGCAAGGUUAACCGAAUAGGGGAGCCGAAGGGAAACCGAGUCUUAACUGGGCGUUAAGUUGCAGGGUAUAGACCCGAAACCCGGUGAUCUAGCCAUGGGCAGGUUGAAGGUUGGGUAACACUAACUGGAGGACCGAACCGACUAAUGUUGAAAAAUUAGCGGAUGACUUGUGGCUGGGGGUGAAAGGCCAAUCAAACCGGGAGAUAGCUGGUUCUCCCCGAAAGCUAUUUAGGUAGCGCCUCGUGAAUUCAUCUCCGGGGGUAGAGCACUGUUUCGGCAAGGGGGUCAUCCCGACUUACCAACCCGAUGCAAACUGCGAAUACCGGAGAAUGUUAUCACGGGAGACACACGGCGGGUGCUAACGUCCGUCGUGAAGAGGGAAACAACCCAGACCGCCAGCUAAGGUCCCAAAGUCAUGGUUAAGUGGGAAACGAUGUGGGAAGGCCCAGACAGCCAGGAUGUUGGCUUAGAAGCAGCCAUCAUUUAAAGAAAGCGUAAUAGCUCACUGGUCGAGUCGGCCUGCGCGGAAGAUGUAACGGGGCUAAACCAUGCACCGAAGCUGCGGCAGCGACACUAUGUGUUGUUGGGUAGGGGAGCGUUCUGUAAGCCUGUGAAGGUGUACUGUGAGGUAUGCUGGAGGUAUCAGAAGUGCGAAUGCUGACAUAAGUAACGAUAAAGCGGGUGAAAAGCCCGCUCGCCGGAAGACCAAGGGUUCCUGUCCAACGUUAAUCGGGGCAGGGUGAGUCGACCCCUAAGGCGAGGCCGAAAGGCGUAGUCGAUGGGAAACAGGUUAAUAUUCCUGUACUUGGUGUUACUGCGAAGGGGGGACGGAGAAGGCUAUGUUGGCCGGGCGACGGUUGUCCCGGUUUAAGCGUGUAGGCUGGUUUUCCAGGCAAAUCCGGAAAAUCAAGGCUGAGGCGUGAUGACGAGGCACUACGGUGCUGAAGCGACAAAUGCCCUGCUUCCAGGAAAAGCCUCUAAGCAUCAGGUAACAUCAAAUCGUACCCCAAACCGACACAGGUGGUCAGGUAGAGAAUACCAAGGCGCUUGAGAGAACUCGGGUGAAGGAACUAGGCAAAAUGGUGCCGUAACUUCGGGAGAAGGCACGCUGAUAUGUAGGUGAAGCGACUUGCUCGUGGAGCUGAAAUCAGUCGAAGAUACCAGCUGGCUGCAACUGUUUAUUAAAAACACAGCACUGUGCAAACACGAAAGUGGACGUAUACGGUGUGACGCCUGCCCGGUGCCGGAAGGUUAAUUGAUGGGGUUAGCGGUAACGCGAAGCUCUUGAUCGAAGCCCCGGUAAACGGCGGCCGUAACUAUAACGGUCCUAAGGUAGCGAAAUUCCUUGUCGGGUAAGUUCCGACCUGCACGAAUGGCGUAAUGAUGGCCAGGCUGUCUCCACCCGAGACUCAGUGAAAUUGAACUCGCUGUGAAGAUGCAGUGUACCCGCGGCAAGACGGAAAGACCCCGUGAACCUUUACUAUAGCUUGACACUGAACAUUGAGCCUUGAUGUGUAGGAUAGGUGGGAGGCUUUGAAGUGUGGACGCCAGUCUGCAUGGAGCCGACCUUGAAAUACCACCCUUUAAUGUUUGAUGUUCUAACGUGGGCCCCUUACCGGGGUUGCGGACAGUGUCUGGUGGGUAGUUUGACUGGGGCGGUCUCCUCCUAAAGAGUAACGGAGGAGCACGAAGGUUGGCUAAUCCUGGUCGGACAUCAGGAGGUUAGUGCAAUGGCAUAAGCCAGCUUGACUGCGAGCGUGACGGCGCGAGCAGGUGCGAAAGCAGGUCAUAGUGAUCCGGUGGUUCUGAAUGGAAGGGCCAUCGCUCAACGGAUAAAAGGUACUCCGGGGAUAACAGGCUGAUACCGCCCAAGAGUUCAUAUCGACGGCGGUGUUUGGCACCUCGAUGUCGGCUCAUCACAUCCUGGGGCUGAAGUAGGUCCCAAGGGUAUGGCUGUUCGCCAUUUAAAGUGGUACGCGAGCUGGGUUUAGAACGUCGUGAGACAGUUCGGUCCCUAUCUGCCGUGGGCGCUGGAGAACUGAGGGGGGCUGCUCCUAGUACGAGAGGACCGGAGUGGACGCAUCACUGGUGUUCGGGUUGUCAUGCCAAUGGCACUGCCCGGUAGCUAAAUGCGGAAGAGAUAAGUGCUGAAAGCAUCUAAGCACGAAACUUGCCCCGAGAUGAGUUCUCCCUGACUCCUUGAGAGUCCUGAAGGAACGUUGAAGACGACGACGUUGAUAGGCCGGGUGUGUAAGCGCAGCGAUGCGUUGAGCUAACCGGUACUAAUGAACCGUGAGGCUUAACCUUACAACGCCGAAG